GAGAAUAAAUGCAUGCACUUACCACUUUCAGCAUUACUGGAUCUGUAUAGAGAGACAGACAUCAUCUUUGAACCUAGACCUAAACAGUUUCAAGACAGAUACCAUGAAGUUUACUGUGUCUUUGAAUGGACUUCUGCUGAUCUUUCUGCUUCCUCCUUGUACACAAAGUUUGGAUACUGAGACAGUGGACAUUAAAACUCUUGCCCGCAUUAUAAACUUCUUUGAGCAAAACUACAAGAGAGUUGACGAUGAUGGACAUCCACGGCAAUAUGCGACAGCCAUCAAUGUACCAAAGGUUCAAUGUCAAGCGGGCUUUAAUCCUUCACAAAACAACUUUCUGACUCAAGAAAAUGCUAAUAAUGUGAAAAAUGCUAUUGCUGAUAAGUCCAACGCGCUUUACCAGGGUGAACAGCUUAUAGCAGCAGGAACUAGAAGGAAAAAAAAUACAAUAUUCAUUCUGAGUCAAUCUUAUUGAACCCUUCUUACAACUCCCCCAUGAAGAAACUCUUAGAAAACAAUAAGCAGGACUGCAGUAUAUUUUACACCUAUUAUUCUCCAUGUUUUGGCUUGUGCCUUGAUAAGCAAGGCCGAUAUAACAUCCUAGAAGCUCUUGAUUUUUGGAGCAAACAGCAUGGAAUUAAAGCUUUUGUUUUCAGGCAUUUCUGGAAGUAUGACAAAGAAAAACCUCAACUUGUAAAUUAUAAAUUUAAGCUAAUUGCGUCUCGUGUGCCCCUCUAUCGUUGUGUUAGCGAGAUUAGCGAGUUAAGGAGACGCCCCCAUUGAUAAUCACUGUCUCCCACAAACAACAAACAAGGGACAUGAGUUAUAGUUUAUUUGUAAUUAAAUGAAAAGUGGUGAAAGGGGAGAAACAUUGGAAAAGUUCUCACAUCCUCUGUACUUGAAAUUACUUUGUACCAAUCCUUAAAAAUAAAGUUGCUUUAAAGGUAAAAAAAGAACCAUUGUUUUUUAAAGAACCAUUUCUUUUUUACUUUACUAUAAUCUGAAGAACCUUUUUUCACUACAAAGAACAGAAAGGUUCUU